rnacentral:rRNA from 1 species
GCAAGUCGUGCGAGAAAGUAUCUUCGGAUAUGAGUAGAGCGGCGGACGGGUGAGUAACGCGUAGGAAUCUACCUAGUAGAAGGGGAUAGCCCGGGGAAACUCGGAUUAAUACCGUAUACCUCCUUCGGGAGAAAGAAGGCCUCUCUUUGAAGCUUUCGCUAUUAGAUGAGCCUGCGUAAGAUUAGCUUGUUGGUGAGGUAAAGGCUCACCAAGGCGACGAUCUUUAGCGGGUCUGAGAGGACGAUCCGCCACAUUGGGACUGAGACACGGCCCAGACUCCUACGGGAGGCAGCAGUGGGGAAUAUUGGACAAUGGGCGCAAGCCUGAUCCAGCCAUACCGCGUGUGUGAAGAAGGCCCUAGGGUUGUAAAGCACUUUAAGUUGGGAAGAAAAGUUAUUGGUUAAUACCCAAUAACCGUGACAUUACCAUCAGAAUAAGGACCGGCUAAUUCCGUGCCAGCAGCCGCGGUAAUACGGAAGGUCCAAGCGUUAAUCGGAAUUACUGGGCGUAAAGCGCGCGUAGGUGGUUUAUUAAGUUGGAUGUGAAAUCCCCGGGCUCAACCUGGGAACUGCCUCCAAAUCUGAUUCACUUGAGUACGAUCGAGGGAG